AACCCCUAUCUUUAGUUACUAACAUUAAGUUGAGGACUCUAGAGAUACUGCCUGGGUAACUGGGAGGAAGGUGGGGAUGACGUCAAAUCAUCAUGCCUCUUACGAGUGGGGCCACACACGUGCUACAAUGGUCGGUACAAAGAGAAGCAAUAUGGCGACAUGGAGCAAAUCUCAAAAAGCCGAUCUCAGUUCGGAUUGGAGUCUGCAAUCCGACUCCAGGAAGUCGGAAUCGCUAGUAAUCGCAGCUCAGCUAGGCUGCGGUGAAUACGUUGUCGGGUCUUGUACACGCCGCCCGUCACGCCAUGGGAGCUUGUAAUACCCAAAGUCGGUUUGCUAACCUCGGAGGCGACCGCCUAAGGUAGGAUUGGUGACUGGGGUGAAGUCGUAACAAGGAAUCCCAACGAGAACGUGGGGAUGGAUAACCUCCUUUCUACGGAG
rnacentral:rRNA from 1 species